rnacentral:sRNA from 1 species
ACGCUGGCUUCGUGCCUAACACAUGCAAGUCGAGCGAUUCUCUUCGGAGAAGAGCGGCGGACGGGUGAGUAACGCGUGGGUAACCUGCCCUAUACACACGGAUAACGUACCGAAAGGUACGCUAAUACGAGAUAAUAUGCUUUAGUCGCAUGGCUGAAGUAUCAAAGCUCCGGCGGUAUAGGAUGGACCCGCGUCUGAUUAGCUAGUUGGUAAGGUGAUGGCUUACCAAGGCGACGAUCAGUAGCCGACCUGAGAGGGUGAUCGGCCACAUUGGAACUGAGACACGGUCCAAACUCCUACGGGAGGCAGCAGUGGG